rnacentral:rRNA from 1 species
GACGAACGCUGGCGGCGUGCCUAACACAUGCAAGUCGAACGGGGUAAAGAGCUUCGGUUCUUUACUUAGUGGCGAACGGGUGAGUAACGCGUGAGAAACCUGCCUUUCAGUGGGGGACAACAGUUGGAAACGACUGCUAAUACCGCAUAAUGUUAUCGAGCGGCAUCGCUUGGUAACCAAAGCUUUAUGUGCUGAAAGAUGGUCUCGCGUCUGAUUAGCUAGUUGGUGAGGUAACGGCUCACCAAGGCGACGAUCAGUAGCCGGUCUGAGAGGAUGAACGGCCACAUUGGAACUGAGAUACGGUCCAGACUCCUACGGGAGGCAGCAGUGGGGAAUAUUGGGCAAUGGGCGAAAGCCUGACCCAGCAACGCCGCGUGAGGGAAGAAGGGUUUCGGCUCGUAAACCUCUGUCCUAUGGGACGAAGAAGUGACGGUACCAUAGGAGGAAGCCCGGCUAACUACGUG